UGUUUUCUUGAACCUUGAUCAUUAAAGCAUUAAUCCAAUAUUUCUUACACUUCCAUACACAAGAUAAUACAAACCAUGUUCAUUUCAAAAGCCAAAAUUAUAUUACAUAAAUUAUUAUAACCAAAACACAUAAACCUUGUCCAUUCUCAUUACACCCAGAAACCAACACACAUGUUGACAUACACAAUUCAAUGACCAAAGUACAUAACC
rnacentral:lncRNA from 1 species